UGGGGAAUUUUGGACAAUGGGGGAAACCCUGAUCCAGCCAUCCCGCGUGUGCGAUGAAGGCCUUCGGGUUGUAAAGCACUUUUGGCAGGAAAGAAACGUCAUGGGUUAAUACCCCGUGAAACUGACGGUACCUGCAGAAUAAGCACCGGCUAACUACGUGCCAGCAGCCGCGGUAAUACGUAGGGUGCAAGCGUUAAUCGGAAUUACUGGGCGUAAAGCGUGCGCAGGCGGUUCGGAAAGAAAGAUGUGAAAUCCCAGAGCUCAACGUUGGAACUGCAUUUGUAACUACCGGGCUAGAGUGUGUCAGAGGUAGGUGGAAUUCCGCGUGUAGCAGUGAAAUGCGUAGAUAUGCGGAAGAACACCGAUGGCGAAGGCAGCCUCCUGGGAUAACACUGACGCUCAUGCACGAAAGCGUGGGGAGCAAACAGG
rnacentral:rRNA from 1 species